GGUGCUGCAUGGUCGUCGUCAGCUCGUGCCGUGAGGUGUCGGGUUAAGUCCCAUAACGAGCGCAACCCUUAUGAUUAGUUGCUAACAGGUCAGGCUGAGGACUCUAGUCAGACUGCCACCGUAAGGUGUGAGGAAGGUGGGGAUGACGUCAAAUCAGCACGGCCCUUAUGUCCAGGGCUACACACGUGUUACAAUGGCCGAUACAGAGGGCAGCGACCAAGCGAUUGGGAGCUAAUCCGGAAAAGUCGGUCUCAGUUCGGAUCGGAGUCUGCAACCCGACUCCGUGAAGCUGGAUUCGCUAGUAAUCGCGCAUCAGCCAUGGCGCGGUGAAUACGUUCCCGGGCCUUGUACACACCGCCCGUCAAACCAUGGGAGCCGAGGGUACCUGAAGUCUGU
rnacentral:rRNA from 1 species